AUUAGCUGAAGCUACAACAACCACAUGCAAAGCUACAACAACCACUACAACUACAACCACAGCUGCACCCACAAUACCACAAUUCAGGCUAUGAUGAACACAGCUGCUGUGACAACUACCACUGUUGCUCCUACAACAACCACAGUCACACCGAUAACAACCACAAUGAAUCCCACAACCACCACAGCUGCCACAAUCACAACUACCAACUCAACAGCAGCACUGACAACAAAUGAGGGAUCACUGGGUUUAACAUUCAGAUUAAUCCAUACAUUCCUAAGUGACUACUUGGACUCUUCUACAACAGCAUAUCAGGAAUUUGCAGCAAAUGUGACCACAGAGGUGAAUUGUGGAUACAGAAAAAUAUCAUUUGACCUACAAAAGGUGUUGGAUCAUUCAAUUCUCGAGUUGCUCAGUGAUUGUCAACACAACACUUAUUUUCAAGAAUCAGACUGUGGUACCAAAUGCAACCAGGGCAGAACAGGGAAAACGUGAUUAUCUGUCUCAGGGGAACACCUUCCUCGCUGUUGAUAAAACCUCUA